UCUGUCUGGCAUGGCCAGGGCUCAGAGCCACCCUCGUUUCCUCCUUCACCAUGGAGCAUCAGCUUCCCUGGGCUCAGCCAAGCGCCAUAGGGCAGCCCUG